AGUUCCCACUGAAACUGAUUGACAAAAAGGGCCUGGCACCUCUCUCUUCUCUCUCUUUCUCUCUCUCACCAUGUGAUCUAUGCAUGCCUGUUCCCGUCUGCUUGCACUAAGAAUGGAAACAGCCUAAGUUCCUCACCAGAAGCAGAGGCUGGCACCAUGUUUGUUAUGCAGCCUGCAGAACCAGAAAUCAUGGGAAAAACUGCCCAUUUCUGUUUUGUCCACUUUGCUUUGGGAAGUGAGAGCUAUAGUCAUUAUCACCACAUCCCCUGGCAUCCAAUUCCACAUUCUACCUCAGAAGUUAUUUGGAGGAAUCCAAGGACUUAGAUAUUUUACCAAUGUCUCUGGUGAUUUUUAUAUCGGUGGCCCAUGGGUGUUGACCUAUGAAACUGCUCUGCAGCAGAUAUUGAGAAAUAGGAGUUCAGGUAAGGCUCCUAUGAGCUAUUCUAGUAUUACUUCCUAAAUGUAGUUUGUUAACAUUCCAAACAAAGAAGCUUAAUAGUCUCUUCAGUCCAUUCAUAUACUCAGUAAAUGUUUACUAAGAACUCUGCUGGAUGCUGAGAUGAAAUGGUACACAAAAGAGACAGGUUUUAUUCCUCUAAGUAUCUAGUGAGAUAGACAGCUCAGGCAAAAUGAUAAGGACAACAAUGAAACAUACAUAGUGGUAAGGAAGCACACAGAAAUAUUCUUAGCCAGAAGAGAAAUUCAGAGAAAUAUCCUCAGACUGUCAUCUAAACUAAGAACCAAAAUUUCAUAUGAUUUAGUUAAAUGAAAGAAAAAUAAAGGGGGGAAAUUAUCAGGCAAUAUAAGCUAGUUUGGGGAACCAAAUGAUUAGACUUUCUGGAGCACAGUGUAUAUGGGGCUAUUAAAGGGGGGAUGAUGGUAAGAGAGAUGUGACUGGUUUGGGAACAUUUCAUCAGAUCUUGAAAUAAC
rnacentral:lncRNA from 10 species